rnacentral:misc_RNA from 1 species
GAUGAAGAACGUAGCGAAAUGCGAUAAGUAAUGUGAAUUGCAGAAUUCAGUGAAUCAUCGAAUCUUUGAACGCACAUUGCGCCCGCCAGUAUUCUGGCGGGCAUGCCUGUUCGAGCGUCAUUUCAACCCUCAAGCCCAGCUUGGUGUUGGGGAUCGGCACGGGCGCCCUCGGGCGCCAGCCGUCCCCUAAAUCCAGUGGCGGUCCCGCUGCAGCCUCCUCUGCGUAGUAGUUUUCUCCUCGCAAGGGCAGCUCGGUGGCGACCUCGCCGUAAAACCCCCAACUUCUGAAAGGUUGACCUCGAAUCAGGUAGGAAUACCCGCUGAACUUAAGCAUAUCAAUAAGCGGAGGA